rnacentral:rRNA from 1 species
AUUGAACGCUGGCGGCAGGCCUAACACAUGCAAGUCGAACGAGUGGCGGACGGGUGAGUAAUUUCUGGGAAACUGCCCGAUGGAGGGGGAUAACUACUGGAAACGGUAGCUCAUACCGCAUACUAUCGGAUGUGCCCAGCUGGGAUUAGCUAGUAGGGGGGGUAACGGCUCACCUAGGCGACGAUCCCUAGCUGGUCUGAGAGGAUGACCAGCAACACUGGAACUGAGACACGGUCCAGACGCCUACGUGAGGCAGCAGUGGGGAAUAUUGCACAAUGGGCGCAAGCCUGAUGCAGCCAUGCCGCGUGUAUGAAGAAGGCCUUCGGGUUGUAAAGUACUUUCAGCGAGGAGGCGUUACUCGCAGAAGAAGCACCGGCUAACUCCGUGCCAGCAGCCGCGGUAAUUC